GGUUUCAGCUCAGUGGUAGAGCACUUGUCUAGCACAUCUGAGGCACUGGGUUCAAUCCUCAGCACCA
rnacentral:tRNA from 1 species